rnacentral:lncRNA from 1 species
CCAUGCCCUCUAGGUCCCUUUUAUAGAUGGCGUCCAUAGUUUGAUUAAGACUAGGUUUUAUAGAAUCAAAUCUAAUCAAAGUAGGACUCCAACUUUGAUCCAAUCAAAACCAGAUCAAAUCUGAUUUGAUCCUCAUCCAAAAAGGAGAUAAGAGAGGGGUGUGGAAGGGCUUGGGGUGAUCCAUUCACACACCAAAUCCAAUUUGGCAUGGAGCUUAGGUGGC